UUACACAUGCAAGUCGAACGGCAGCGCGGGGCAACCUGGCGGCGAGUGGCGAACGGNUGAGUAAUAUAUCGGAACGUGCCCUGGAGUGGGGGAUAACGCAGCGAAAGUUGCGCUAAUACCGCAUACGAUCUAAGGAUGAAAGCGGGGGAUUCGCAAGAACCUCGUGCUCCUGGAGCGGCCGAUAUCUGAUUAGCUAGUUGGUGGGGUAAAGGCCUACCAAGGCAUCGAUCAGUAGCUGGUCUGAGAGGACGACCAGCCACACUGGAACUGAGACACGGUCCAGACUCCUACGGGAGGCAGCAGUGGGGAAUUUUGGACAAUGGGCGAAAGCCUGAUCCAGCAAUGCCGCGUGAGUGAAGAAGGCCUUCGGGUUGUAAAGCUCUUUUGUCAGGGAAGAAACGGUGAAGGCUAAUAUCCUUUGCUAAUGACGGUACCUGAAGAAUAAGCACCGGCUAACUACGUGCCAGCAGCCGCGGUAAUACGUAGGGUGCAAGCGUUAAUCGGAAUUACUGGGCGUAAAGCGUGCGCAGGCGGUUUUGUAAGUCUGUCGUGAAAUCCCCGGGCUCAACCUGGGAAUUGCGAUGGAGACUGCAAGGCUAGAAUCUGGCAGAGGGGGGUAGAAUUCCACGUGUAGCAGUGAAAUGCGUAGAGAUGUGGAGGAACACCGAUGGCGAAGGCAGCCCCCUGGGUCAAGAUUGACGCUCAUGCACGAAAGCGUGGGGAGCAAACAGGAUUAGAUACCCUGGUAGUCCACGCCCUAAACGAUGUCUACUAGU
rnacentral:rRNA from 1 species